UUUAUUAUAUAAGCCAUUAUAGGUAAUAAUCAAUUAUUUAAAAGAUGUGAAGAAUAAAGACUUGGCUGAAGUGGAACAAGUACAAUAAUGAUGACAGCUCUUAAGUUUUUAGAAACUUAUUAAUCAAGGCCAAAACCAAUGCAAAUUAAUACAAUAAGUUUUAAAUCCUUCACGGAGUAAGAAAGGACUCGGCAAUAUCAAGAAGGCUUAUGCUUAUAUUAUGGAAAAGCUAAAUAUAUUAUUGAAUAUUAUCCAAAAAAAACAACUCAAUCACAAAAUAAGAAGCAUAAUUAUCAAAGAAGACGAUGUUUCAAAAAUUGAAUUUCUCUAGCCACAAUAAAAACAGUGUGGUUGAAAUCUUACCUAAUUCCUAGUAAAGACCUUAUU
rnacentral:lncRNA from 1 species